rnacentral:lncRNA from 1 species
UUCCAAAUAACAAAACACAAAGAAAAAACAUGGGAAAUGUAAUGGGAAAAAACACAAAGAUUCCUCCUUUGGUAAAGACUGGCUUGAAAAUGGGCUCCUGUGCAGCUCCUGUGCAUUGAUUGCUUACUAUGUGUUCAAGAAGCUUGGAGUGCCGGUAGAGCUCCGUAUUGGUGUGGGAAGGGAAGGAGGACGUCCAAGAGGUGUUGGGAUUUGGAGUUCUGAAGCCAAAUCGGUAAUAAAAGAGGUUGAGAUUGUUAUUGUUGACUAAAAGGUCUUGUCUUUUAAUUAUGGGUCUGUAAUAAGUAGUGUAAUGUGUCAUGUGCUCUAAUCGCUUACUAUGUUCUCAAAAAGCUUGGAGUGCAUGUAGGGUUCCGUAUUGGCGUGGGAAGGGAAGGAGGAGGUCCAGGUGUUGUGAUUUGGAGUUCGGAAGCCAAAUCGGUAAUGAAAGAGGUUGAGAUAGUGAUUGUUGACUAAUGAUUUUUAAAAAAGUCUUAUCUUUUAAUUAUGGGUCUGUAAUAAUUAAGUAGUGUAACGUGUCAUCUUCUCUUUUAGUUUGUCCUUUGUCUUUGUAACAAGUCAAGUUUAUGGUCAUGUUAGUCUUCUUGUUAUCUAAAAGACUUAAAGUCGGUUGAUGAAAAAAAAAAAAAAAAAAAGACUUAAAGUCGGUUUGGUCUAGUUAACUCUUA